rnacentral:rRNA from 1 species
UACAGAGGGGGCAAGCGUUGUUCGGAAUUACUGGGCGUAAAGGGCGCGUAGGCGGCCCGCUAAGUCGAACGUGAAAUCCCCGGGCUCAACCCGGGAACUGCGUCCGAUACUGGCAGGCUUGAAUCCGGGAGAGGGAUGCGGAAUUCCAGGUGUAGCGGUGAAAUGCGUAGAUAUCUGGAGGAACACCGGUGGCGAAGGCGGCAUCCUGGACCGGUAUUGACGCUGAGGUGCGAAAGCCAGGGGAGCAAACGGG